rnacentral:misc_RNA from 1 species
GAUGAAGAACGUAGCGAAAUGCGAUACGUAAUGUGAAUUGCAGAAUUCAGUGAAUCAUCGAGUCUUUGAACGCACAUUGCGCCCCCUGGUAUUCCGGGGGGUAUGCCUGUCCGAGCGUCAUUGCUGCCCUCAAGCACGGCUUGUGUGUUGGGCCUCCGUCCUCCUCCCGGGGGACGGGCCCGAAAGGCAGCGGCGGCACCGCGUCCGGUCCUCGAGCGUAUGGGGCUUCGUCACCCGCUCUUGUAGGCCCGGCCGGCGCUUGCCGACACAUCAAUCUUUUUUCCAGGUUGACCUCGGAUCAGGUAGGGAUACCCGCUGAACUUAAGCAUAUCAAUAAGCGGAGGA